ACGUGCUAAUCUGCGAUAAGCGUCGGUAAGGUGAUAUGAACCGUUAUAACCGGCGAUUUCCGAAUGGGGAAACCCAGUGUGUUUCGACACACUAUCAUUAACUGAAUCCAUAGGUUAAUGAGGCGAACCGGGGGAACUGAAACAUCUAAGUACCCCGAGGAAAAGAAAUCAACCGAGAUUCCCCCAGUAGCGGCGAGCGAACGGGGAG
rnacentral:rRNA from 1 species